GAAGGAUUCGAAACAGGGGUGGUAUAGUACGUCAUCAACAGGUGCGCGCAACACUUCCCGAUGCGGCUUUUUUGUGUCAAAACAUCUCGAUUCGGUACAUGAAAGAUGAAAAAGGAAACAAAACUUCUAGUCUGCAUCAAUGGAAUUGUCAAUAUAUGUUAAAAAGGAUUGCUGAGUGAUCGGCAUGCAAGACAUUAUUGACAUAUUAUAUUUUCCAAAAGCUGUACGACAUAAUAUUUGAGAAGUGGAGAACAUCCUCUAACGGAAUUACCCCAGACAAGGAUUUCAACGCUCAACUAGGUCUCCGUACCAAACUUUGUCACGACUAUGUCGGUUGCUGUUUGAAGGGCCACGUGAUCAUCACAAUUGCUCGGGAAAAAAAUGAGAAAUUGCUGUAUCGCGCCAACGAAAUGUUCUUAUUAAGGAGUUUUAGAUGUGCGCAGGGAAAGACCAAGAGUGACUACAACCGAAUUAUAAUUACCACUUAGUAGAAUGGGACAUUGAAUCUACACUAGAAAGCGGUUGAGGAUUUAACAUUUUACUAAUGUUCAGAUUUUGCUUGCAAAUCUUAGUGCACCCAAUUACAUGUUAAAACUCGAAGUGAGCUUGAACAGUGGUAGAACAAUUUUACUUGCAAUGUAAAUUACUUUGCUUUUCUUAAACUGUUUAGUUGUUGAAAAUGUUGUUGUAUAAAAGAGUAUUUAAAAUAGGAAAUUUUACUGAUUUUUUAUUUAAACCCUUACACAGUGGAAGCCGUUGUGACAUAAACAUACGCACAUACACUUUCAAGACAUAGCAACAUCUUCCUUUUAUCAGCUAAUGUUAUAUAUUUACACAAAUCAACAAAGUAGAUUUAUUACUUGAUUGUAGCAAUUCUAAAUUUUAUACA